GGCAGGUGUAGUCCAAUUAAGGAGGGUUUUGGCAGCAAGCUGCGUGUCUCUCUGGGGCCCACAUGGCAAGCCACUGGUGCUGGGACUAGUUCCGUUACCAGACUCCAGAGAAUCUGUGUCAAACCAGGGCCUCGGUUCAGGUGCAUAACUUUUAAGGCAGGAUGGAUGAGCUAAACAAGGGAACUCUUAUAGGAUGAAUGAAUGAAGAAAGUAACUGUGACCUCCCAUUUAUAGGCAUCUUACAGUUUACGAACCACUCCCUAUUCUGGCCAUUUCAAUAGUUACGUCAAGAUGAUCACAAGUCUGUCUCAAAUUCUGUGAUCUGAUUGGUGCUGAAUGAUGAGGAUCAAGGCUGCCCCAGGGAGAGAAGACCAAGGCGUUCUGGUCUACCUGCAAAUCUAUUUCAUCCUCCAGGAAGUAUAGGACAUCCUGAGCUGAUUCAUAUCUAAAGUUAAUGUAACAACACCAUAUGGGGCCGGGCCCGUGGCCGAGUGGUUAAGUUUGCGCGCUCUGCUGUGGCAGCCCAGGGUUCAGAUCCUGGGCGCGGACACGGCACCACUCGUCAGGCCACGUUGAGGCGGCGUCCCACAUCCCACAACUAGAAUGAUCUGCAACUAAGAUACACAAUUAUGUACCUGGGGGGAUUUGGGGAGAUAAAGCAGAAAAAAAAAAA
rnacentral:lncRNA from 1 species